UCCAGGUUUCAAAAGACCACCUGGUUCACUACCCAUCGACAGCCGAGGGAGAACCGGCACUGUACACGUCAACGCUGGGCCUCACGCUAACUGCCACGUCAAGCCUAUUUGCUGAAGGUGUUCUCAAUCUCAGAUGUACUGCCACUGUACACGUGUAUGAGUGGAGCACAGAUGUUUCUCUCCACCUGGACAACGUCACGUACAGCCAGCCUCAUCACCUUCCGACGUUGCAGCAGACAGAUGGCGCCACCUCCGCCUUCUCUUCGUGCUUAUUAAUUGCGUUCUCCUUGUUCAGUUUUUGUGUCCUUAGACUAAGUUAAUGUAAUGUCUAAGCUUGUGUAAAAGACUUUUAUAUCCUAAUGUGCAACUCGACUCCUUUGAUAAAGAGUUUCCACUUACUUGUAACUAAGAAUUUAUUUGUAACGAGACACUCUCUCAAUACUCGCUGUGAUCACUUAAUUUACUUAUAUAGAAGAUGAUGACGAAGAUUAAAAAAAAAAAAAAAAAUAUCUGAAGAAUAAAAGGAUAAGAUAUAGAGUUUAUUUUCCAAUGUGUGGCAUCG